rnacentral:lncRNA from 1 species
GAAAAAAUUAAUGGGGAAUGGUACACUAUUAUCCUGGCUUCUGACAAAAGAGAAAAGAUAGAAGAACAUGGCAGCAUGAGACUUUUUGUGGAGCACAUUCAUGUCUUGGAGAAUUCCUUAGGUUUUAAACUCCAUACUGUGAGAUCAGAGGAGUGCUCCAAAGUAUUUUUAGUUGGUGACAAUACAGAAAAGGCUGGUAAUAUUCUGUGACAUAUGAUGGAUUCAAUACAUUUACUAUACUGAAGACAGAAUAUGAUAAUUAUAUUAUGUUUCAUCUCAUUAAUGAAAUGAAUGGGGAAACCUUCCAGCUGAUGUUGCUUUAUGACCUAGAACCGGAUUUGAGGUCAGACAUCAAGGAAGAAUUUGCAAAACUAUUUGAGGAGCAUGGAAUCGUUAGAGAAAAUAGCAUUGACCUAUCUAAUGCCAAUCACUGUCUCCAGGCCCUAGAAUGA